rnacentral:rRNA from 1 species
UACAGAGGUCCCAAGCGUUGUUCGGAUUCACGGGGCGUAAAGGGUGCGUAGGUGGUGAGGUAAGUCGGAUGUGAAAGCUCCGAGCUCAACUCGGAAAUGGCAUUGGAAACUACCUUGCUCGAGGGUUUGAGGGGGGACUGGAAUACUUGGUGUAGCAGUGAAAUGCGCAGAUAUCAAGUAGAACACCAGUGGCGAAGGCGAGUCCCUGGAAAACUCCUGACACUGAGGCACGAAAGCUAGGGGAGCAAACAGG